rnacentral:lncRNA from 1 species
GUUUCUACCUAUUGGGAUAUUCCUACAAGUUGGAUGGCCUGAUCCAGGGCAUUAGGAACGAAAUGGAAUGGAGGAGAUCGAUUCUAGAAUUUUAAAGAUUGCACACUGGACCUGGUGAUCAGUCUACAAUACGCAGAAGAGUAAUCGAAAGCUAAGUGGGGUUUUAAUAUGGGUAUGGGUGGAUGCUGCUGCUCUAAUGGAAAUACAGAGCCCAAGGAGAAGUGUUAAGGACAUGAGGAAAAGUUCCCUUGAGAUAUCCUGACUUUGAGGACUCUUGGGAUUCCCUGAUAGAUUCUAACGAACGCCGAGUGUUGCUGCACGUGGAACAGGCGCGGAUUCUGUCUUCUCUCCGUGCCCUGUCAGCACCGGGGAUGAACUGGUGAGGGGAAGACUGCAGGAAAACACUUCACAACCAAAGCGGAUGAAAGCGAGUCCAGACUCAUGAGGACCCCUCCCACUGACAGCGGUGACCUCGAGUUAGUGGGACCCCAGCGCUGUAGUGCUUUGCACUCACCUUGACUCCCACCAAGCUUGGCGGUUGCUCUCCGCCUGCAGCGUAGGCGGAGCGGAG